GCGGGGAUCACCCGAACCCAUUCCGAACUCGGCAGUUAAGCCCGCCAUCGCCGGAUGUACUGGGGGGGAAGCCCCCGGGAGAUAAGGGCGCCGC
rnacentral:rRNA from 1 species